rnacentral:lncRNA from 1 species
UCGUGGUGGGGCACGCCUCGAGGCAAACGGAGUCGGCGGGGAUGAGCGUCAUGGUGGAGUACUGCGUGGGGUUAAAGUAGUGGAGCACCUCGCGCUUGGAGAAAUCGGGCGCGGUGAUGCCGGUGGUGUUGGCGUCCUGCGCGUAGAGGUCGGGCUUGGUGCCGCAGAGGUAGCCCACGGAGUCAAAGCCGUAGGUCAGGAGGUUGGGGUCACCCUGGGACAGCGCGGUGCCGCCGAUGAUGAACAUGCCGCCCCAGAAGGCGGCGAAGAUGAUGCAAAAGAGGACAUCGGUGCACCUGCGCUUCUCGAUGAGCUGCGGAGACGUGAC